rnacentral:misc_RNA from 1 species
CCUAGAGUUGUAGGCUUUGCCUGCCUAUCUCUUACCCAUGUCUUUUGAGUAACCUUCGUUUCCCUCGGCGGGUCCGCCCGGCCCGAUUGGACAAUUUAAUAAAACCAUUUGCAGUUGCAAUCAGCCGUCUGAAAAAAACUUAAUAGUUAC